UGGCACAGUGGUUAAGCAUUUGGCUGCUAACCAAAAGGUCGAUAGUUCAAAUCUAUC
rnacentral:tRNA from 1 species